GACAGAGGGUGCAAACGUUGUUCGGAAUCACUGGGCGUAAAGCGCGUGUAGGCCGCUGCGCAAGUCGGAUGUGAAAUCCCACGGCUCAACCAUGGAAGUGCAUUCGAAACUGCGUAGCUAGAGUUUUGGAGAGGAAGGCGGAAUACUCGGUGUAGAGGUGAAAUUCGUAGAUAUCGAGUGGAACACCGGUGGCGAAGGCGGCCUUCUGGACAAUGACUGACGCUGAAACGCGAAAGCGUGGGGAGCAAACAGGAUUAGAAACCCCAGUAGUCC
rnacentral:rRNA from 1 species